rnacentral:rRNA from 1 species
AGUGAACGCUGGCGGUAGGCCUAACACAUGCAAGUCGAACGGCAGCACAGUAAGAGCUUGCUCUUACGGGUGGCGAGUGGCGGACGGGUGAGGAAUACAUCGGAAUCUACUUUUUCGUGGGGGAUAACGUAGGGAAACUUACGCUAAUACCGCAUACGACCUACGGGUGAAAGCAGGGGAUCUUCGGACCUUGCGCGAUUGAAUGAGCCGAUGUCGGAUUAGCUAGUUGGCGGGGUAAAGGCCCACCAAGGCGACGAUCCGUAGCUGGUCUGAGAGGAUGGUCAGCCACACUGGAACUGAGACAAGGUCCAGACUCCUACGGGAGGCAGCAGUGGGGAAUAUUGGACAAAGGGCGCAAGCCUGAUCCAGCCAUACCGCGUGGGUGAAGAAAGCCUUCGGGUUGUAAAGCCCUUUUGUUGGGAAAGAAAAGCAGCAGGUUAAUACCCCGCUGUUCUGACGGUACCCAAAGAAUAAGCACCGGCUAACUUCGUG